rnacentral:rRNA from 1 species
UGGGGAAUUUUGGACAAUGGGCGAAAGCCUGAUCCAGCAAUGCCGCGUGUGUGAAGAAGGCCUUCGGGUUGUAAAGCACUUUUGUCCGGAAAGAAAUCCUCUGGGUUAAUACCUCGGGGGGAUGACGGUACCGGAAGAAUAAGCACCGGCUAACUACGUGCCAGCAGCCGCGGUAAUACGUAGGGUGCAAGCGUUAAUCGGAAUUACUGGGCGUAAAGCGUGCGCAGGCGGUUUUGUAAGACGGAUGUGAAAUCCCCGGGCUUAACCUGGGAACUGCAUUCGUGACUGCAAGGCUAGAGUAUGGCAGAGGGGGGUAGAAUUCCACGUGUAGCAGUGAAAUGCGUAGAGAUGUGGAGGAAUACCGAUGGCGAAGGCAGCCCCCUGGGCCAAUACUGACGCUCAUGCACGAAAAGCGUGGGGGAGCAAAACAGGAUUAGAUACCCUGGUAGUCCACGCCCUAAAACGAUGUCAACUAGUUGUUGGGGGAUUCAUUUCCUUAGUAACGUAGCUAACGCGUGAAGUUGACCGCCUGGGGAGUACGGUCGCAAGAUUAAAACUCAAAGGAAUUGACGGGGUC